GGAAGCGUCGCAUAGUGGUCUAGUGCAGCGGUUUCGAAAACCGCCAAGGUGUAAAAGCCUUCGAGAGUUCAAAUCUCUCCGCUUCCGCGA
rnacentral:tRNA from 1 species